CUGUUACUGGCUACGGAUUCUAGAAAGAAAGAUGCGUUUACCAGAGAUGUGUCAAAGAUUCAUGUCGUGCUGAAAUUUCGUUAUUCUCUUCGUUGUAUGUACCGAAAUGCUUUCUGCAUUGGCUGAACCAAAUUUGCAUUCCCACCAACAUGUUAGUUACUUCCUUCUAUUGGCCAACCAGUUAUGCUGAAAACAAUGCAUAAGAAGGAAAAGAAAAGAAUUGCAAAAACAAAACAAGCAAGAUUUCAUACAAAAGCAGAGCUG